rnacentral:rRNA from 1 species
AACGAACGCUGGCGGCAUGCCUAACGCAUGCAAGUCGAACGAGACCUUCGGGUCUAGUGGCGCACGGGUGCGUAACGCGUGGGAACCUGCCUUUAGGUUCGGAAUAACUCAGAGAAAUUUGAGCUAAUACCGGAUGAUGUCUUCGGACCAAAGAUUUAUCGCCUUUCGAUGGGCCCGCGUUGGAUAGGCAGUUGGUGGGGUAAAGGCCUAACAAGGGGACGAUCCAUAGCUGGGCUGAGAGGAUGAUCAGCCACACUGGGACUGAGACACGGCCCAGACUCCUACGGGAGGCAGCAGUGGGGAAUAUUGGACAAUGGGCGAAAGCCUGAUCCAGCAAGGCCGCGUGAGUGAUGAAGGCCUUAGGGUUGUAAAGCUCUUUUACCCGAGAUGAUAAUGACAGUAUCGGGAGAAUAAGCUCCGGCUAACUCCGUG